rnacentral:hammerhead_ribozyme from 1 species
AUUAGCUGACGAGUCCCAAAUAGGACAAGACGCACGUCCUGGAU